GUUCAUUCGACGAUUGUCGAUUAAACUCGAUGAUCGAUCUACGUGUUAAUUUUUUCGUUAUCGACUAAAUUCGAGGAGUUUAAAAUAAAUUCCAAUCUACUUACGUACACCUACACGUAUGAUGGUAGUCUCAGAGGCAUAGGUGACGAAACAAGAAGUGUAUAUAUAUAUAUUCGAAUAUGAAAUAAAAUUCACUCCAGCGGGAAUAGCAUUGUUCGCAUAUUCUAGAAACUCGAUGCGAUAAUUGCACGGCAUACCGUGGGAGUAAACAAAACACGUUGGAACGUGUUUACCACAUCGUCCUUGGAUUACUCGGGAGCUCGGGAAGGUAGAGCUCGAAGGAUUCUCUUUGCCGAAAGAUUUCGACUUCGGUUCAUAAAGAAUUCAGCAAGAUUAAUCUGGAACUGGUUAAUCGAUCCUUGGAAAUGUCUUGCGGCCGAUUCCAGCCUUCCAUCGAGACUGUUAACGAGGAUGGAAGGGGGAAGCAGAAAAAACGAGGGGAGGAGUUGGUGGCAAGGCAACGAGCAUGUAGCCUUUUAAAAUUAGCUGUUGGCCGUGAAUAGAAUUAAAUGGGAACGAGGGAGAGACACGGAGAAGGAGGCGGCGGAAGAUUGCCGCAGAUUAAACCACUUUAACAGAGGAAACACGGAAAAGAAGCGGAGAAGAGGAAGAGAGAGAGAGAGAGAGGGAGAUUUUCCGUACGACCUGCAUCCCUUGAAAACUCGGUCUAAAGCCCAGGGCAGAUAGAAUGCGGGCCAAACUAACGCGAUGAAAGGGUAGCUAAUUUGGCCGGCUGUAUCAGAGAAGCUACGCUCCUAAUGGAAAAUGGGAAAAGUGCGUUCGACAGAUGUACACUUUGCCAUUACCGCCUUUUCAUUGCAAGCCCCGAAAAAUUUCCAUCCAUCACCGGUAUACGAAUAUAAUUAUUCCAUUUUUACCUUUCCUUCCUUUCUUAAACCUUUCCUUUCUUCCAACUGAUCACUCCGUAAUAUUACAAUCUACAUAUUUUGCUGGAAACGACGGUUCUAUAAUUCCAUACUCCUUCAAAUAAAAUAAACGAGACUGGGUUUUCGAUCGGAAUUUUGCUCUCAUAUCGCGUUGCCUUUGUACUCGGCUUCAUCAAGAAAGACCCUUCACCGGGAUACGCAAAAACUAAUUAUGAAGGGAAAGCUACAAACGAAAAUAGAGGGAGAGAUGCGAAAGGUAGAUGGGUAAAAUUUGGAAGGAUCGACGCGUCACGCAUCAUUCAUUAUAAACGAACGAUACCGUCUGAGCUAAGGUCACGGGGAUAACGGGCAUAAUUUAGACAGCAGUCGAAAUUUAGUACGAAACUCGAGAUACUUGACGAAGGUAUGCGAACGCAUACCUAAUGAGCCCGCGAGGCGUGCACAGGCGGAACGUAAACUAGAAUCUCGACGGUACGGUUGCGGCUUUAAAGGGAAUACGAACUUUAAUCCGGAAUCCUAAAUCCAAAUAACGCAUGAAAUAAAGAUAACGGGGGAAGUAGGAGCCGCGGACGUGGGUCGAAAAGUCGAUUUUCACGCGUUCACGUGCCAGCGAUGGGAUCGAGCGUAUCGCGAACAACAGAUUCGAGUUCCAACGCAUGGUUAACAUUUUACUUCCGUGAAAACCUAACAGGCUCUAUACAUAAGAAGUACAUAUGAAGAAUAACAGCGAAUACUUCUUUCGAAAAUUUCUUCUAAAUUACAGAAGGAAGAAAAUAAGUUCGAGGGAUUAGCGCGUCGACAAACAAGCUCGAUCCCAUCGCUAGCCCGCGCCUCGAUCGCGGAAAUGGGAUUGAAAAAUUCAGGUACACUUGUUCCUCGUCCUUCCACUCGUCGAUUCGCGCGAUUCUACCAUCCCCCUCCCUGCUUUUUAUAUUUUUUUUUACUUCUCCUCGACACCGGUUCCUCUAAUUAUGGACGAGCGUGGAACGUUGAAAGCCGGCCGAAUGGAAAUCAACGUCAUAUCGAUCUCUAAUAACGACAGAGGGGAGGGGAGGGCGAACAAAACAGCGAUCGAAGAGGUUGGAAAACGAGGGGUAUUUUAUUCAGCCGGUCGAAGGGGAACGUCCAUCGGCACGGAACGACCGAGCUUUGAUGGAUUAAAAGCCGUCAGACGUCCCCGGCCGAUCUGUCCCACGCUUGCUUCGAUCGGCCGAGAUCGAUCAUAGACAUCGACACGGAAAACUCGAAAUUACGGUACAAGCUUUUGUGGCCACUCGAUCGUUUUUCACCGACGUACCGUGUCAUACCGUAUAAACAACGCCGUGACAACCGCAUAAAGCGCGUCCUCCAACGACUCCAUAUAUAUAUAUUGGGGAUUAAUUUGUCCGUUCUCGCGCUCGAGAUUUCUGCAUCAUCGCGAGUCACUCGAAAGAUACUCGAAAAAUACUCGAAUCUCCCUUCUCUCCCUCCUUUUUAUUUUUAUUUUUAUUUUUUUUCUCCCCUGUUGCGGCGUCGAGGACGGAAACACAUCCGAUCGAGUUCCACGAGUAUUUUUCAUUCACGAAAUCCGUUCAUCGUUCGCGAGUUCCCUUUUGUCCCCGAUUCUUUUGAAAUGUUAAUCGAGCCCCGUUCGUGUCGCUCGAAUUAUCCCUCUCGCGGAAAAAAUCGCUUGAAAAAAAGAGAGAAGUAACACCGAUUCCCACCUUUGUUAGCUUCUGCCCCAUCCACCAUUCCAUCUCUUACGGAAUUUGAAACGAGCCGUCGAGUAUUCCUUCGAUUCUCGCAUUAUCGGUUAAAAAGAAGAAAUUCCCCUCCGCCAGAUCUCUGAAAACAACGGACGAUCAUCGGUCACGGAUCCUAUUAAUAACAAUUAACACUCGGCCGGGAUGCCCGUACAACGCGAUCGCAUGAUUUACGAUCGCGUAUCCGCGAUUGCGUCCGUAUUCGUGGCUCCGCGAGUUGAUUAAUGAAUUAGGUGUACCGCGCCCACCUCUACACCGAUAUGAUUCACCGAUGAACCGUGACUCGCCCCGGAACACAGAUGCCCACUUGGACUGCAUCACGCUGCAAACUGUCCAUUCGCUCGUGAAUAAUGGAUACCAACAACGGACAACCGCCGCCGCUUUCAUAUAUAUCGUUUUUCGCCGAACGUGUCCCAACUCUCGAUUAACCUCGGCUGCAUCUUAUCGCGAGUUUUCUCUACUUGAUAAAUAUAAAAUUCGGAAAAUGUUAAAUUACGAUUUCGAUUAUUUCGAUUAGGGGAUUACUCGAGUCUUGAACGAAAUCUCGAUUGAAAAAUUGUCCAAAUUAUUCGUGAGUCCUUCCUUUUUCUAAUAUCAAAUCUAAUAUUGUAUUGUUACUCAUCGAACAACUCGCGCAAAAUCGGCCAUUAACGAUUCAUCCGGUCGACCACACGUUCCUCGAAUUUAGUACGCUUCGUCCAACAAUUUCUUUAAAACCUCUUACUGGGACGUGUGGAGGUCGAUUAGCGUGCAUAAAUUUCUUCGUACGUUUGCUCUUCUUAUUUCAGAAUUAAUAACCGAGUUUCUUGGAAUUCCUUUUUUCCUUUUCCCGCUAUUUGUGCUAUAGUAAUUGGACUCGAUCUGGCUAAAUGUUACCAUCAUCCACGUCUCUGUUGGCUGGCGAGGAUCAGAGGAGCGAUGUGAAAGAUCCAGAUUUCUUAUUACUUUUUACAUGGCGAAAUCGCGUCAACUCCUCGAAAAUUGAAUAAAAAUUUACGAAGAGAGUCGUAUAUACGAGAUCGAUUCGUUCCUAUAUCGUUUCCUAGUGUAUAAAUAUCCACUUAUAAACAUACGUGAAUCCUCUCGCGGUGAAUUUAUAAAUCUUCUCGAAAGAGGGAGCACCUUUUUCGAAUCGAGUUUCGAAGAGAAGGGGACGAUAUAAACGGAAUACAAGAAAAGAGUGGCGAUAUGGUUGGACCGAAAGGCGACGCAGAGGGGAUCGAGGGGGAGGUUAAUGAAAGAAAACGCAAACGUUGGAAACGCCACGCGGAUCAUCGAGUUUAUUGCCGGGGGAGGGGACAAAGUGAAAUCAGUCUACGAUGAAUUAUGCAUACGCGAGGAAACACGAGAAUCGUUCGCGUUCGAGAAUCAAAAGGCAUCCUCCACCCUUAGCUUUCCUCCACGGCACGCCGCCAACCUGCAGCCGCUAAACGUUAUCCGCGAUUCUCUGAUUAACACCGCGACUCCAACGAGAUUAUUGAAUGUAUGAAUCUAUUACACGUGUAAACUAAAAGUAUAAAUUAAACGUAUAAAUCUAUAAUUAUUUUUACCAAUAGCGGAUCUUUCGAUGAAUAUUUCGAGGAUUAAAAGAGAGAAGAAGGGGAUGAAAAAGGAAAAGGCAGCUUUUAAAUGUUAUUCCUUCUCCUUCUCGAUUCUUUAAUUAACAGCUGCUCAAACGAGAUUAUUGAAUAUAUAAAUCUAUUACACCUGUCAUGACUAAAAGAAGAUUAUUGAACGUAUAAAUCUAUGUGCAAUUAUUUUUAUGAA